CGUAAUUGGAGUACUUUGGCGCAGUGGUGGGCUGCAUACAUCUAUGCCAUUUAUGUAUGUCUAAAUCUCCAAUGUUUAUUGCACAUAAUACAUAGUUAUGUCUCCUCUUGUUGUGAUGUAUAUAUCUGGUCUUGUUUUAUUUUGUAUUCUCAGUCCAUGUACAUUCCUGUCCUGCCCUGUUCUUGUUUCCCUCAUGUUUUGUGUACAUGUUCUGGGUUUUGCUUUCUAUCCUUCUCUGGUUCUGGGUUCUACAAGUUUUGUUUUGUUUUCUUGUUUGGUGCCUGUUCUAGUCUUGCCUUGUUUAUAGUACUGGAUACAUACCUGCUGCAGAGCCUCCCUAUCCAGAACAGGGAGGUCUGCAUAUUUUCUCCUAGUUCCUGGGAUCUGCAGAAGUUGCAUCAGGGCCCUGGUAUGUGGCCACACAAAUCCUGGUGCUCAACACCAGGGGGCGUGUGGUUAGCCUGCACUAGGCUCUGAUUGUUUCAUUUCCAAGAGGUUGACUCCGAUCAUCAUCAGGCACGCAGGGGUCCCUGUGUCCGUACUGCCACCCGUGACAUAAAGCCAGCCAAAAGGUCUGAGAGUUCCUGAAGAAAUCUCUUCCCAUCUCCUGGGGGUCUAUAUAUUAACAGUAUCUGGAAUCCUCUAUAUAUUGAGAGGCUAGCAGCUCUGCAUUCAAAAGAUUGGGGUUUGUAGACUGAUAUUGGUCUGGGAUUUAAGGAUGAUUUCGCACAGAUCAUAACUACACCUCCCUUGCGAUCUUGUCUCGGGCAGUGGAACACCGUGUAAUUGCCUGGAAUAUCUGCCCCACAUUUUCAUCUAGCUAUGAUUAUGUAAUGCACGCAAAUUUGCAUGUUUCAAUAAUGUCAGCAAUAAUAGCUGUUUUGUUCCUUAUUAAUCUGGCAUUGCACAGGAUUGAUCUAAUAGGACAAUCUUGGUAUUCUGAGUUUUUGUUCUGUACUUUGGAAACAGCGUGUCUUCUAAUGGGGAUCACACAGUGAGGUUUCCUUGAUUUGAUAGUGCAUCUUUUGUGGCUUCUAGGUUGAAUCACUCCAAUUAAUCUUGCAGGUAGACAGGGUGGUGGAGCAGCUGUGAUAGUGUCAGGAGAUUGAACUUUAAGUUUUGAUUUUCCUCCACUACAGCCCCUGUCAGUCCCUUUGAAGAUGCCAAGUUAUUUUAGGGUAACCACUAGAGGGGGGGCUGAGUGCAGCGACCGCUUUUUGGGGUCUUAGGGAAUACAGAAAUGAGGGAGUAUGGUUGGUCAUUCCCUCAGCAGUGAAGGAGUUAAAAAAACUUCUAGUUCUUGUAGGUAUAUUAGCAGUGGGAGCUGGUUACAUUGCUCUGUUCUAUAGAAUUAAGGCCAGAGUGAGGUGUGAGAUUUUGCACUUCAGGCGGCAUUGUAGAUAACAGAUAAGAAAGCAUGCAUGCAGGUCAGAUUACAGGAGUUCAAAACCGAUGUGUUUUAGUGAAAUAGUUUUCAUCAAUUAGAUUUCUUGGUGUUUAGAAAUGCAAUUUGAGCAUUGCUGAAUGGAUGAUCAAAUGAUCAAAUCAAAAAACCCAAUUUACACAUGGAAGUGAGUCAUUUUUUUUUCAGUUUAAUUGUACCUUGUUUGUGGUGUUUAACUGAAGGUUUCUCUUCCUGAUAGUAAGAUGGUCCAGUGGAGGCUAGCACUUUUAUGGGUGGAGGUAACUGUAUCGAUAACAGAACUAUAUAGCACAGCAACGAAGAGAUGCUGAAAACUCAUGAGAACUUUGAGAGGGCUACGUUGCAGUAAAAACC